GGGGUUGUAGCUCAGCUGGGAGAGCGUCGCGAUGGCAUUGCGAAGGUCAGGGGUUCGAUCCCCCUCAACUCCACCA
rnacentral:tRNA from 1 species